AGCCGGCAUUUCCUGAGGUUUAUGUCUGAUUCAGUUAAACGAUUUUUGUAUUAACCUCACCGUACGUCUUGUGAUGAAUCUGCAGUGCAGUAGUUUGCGAUUACUAAUGACAUUACUGAAGUGCAGAGACAGAGAAAGAAGCUUUUAAGUACAAAACUUUUCUCAGCCGCCCCGGGGGUCCGUGCCUAUCACAAUAAGGAUUCGUGUUCCUUAUGUGAUGAGACGAGACAGGACGUGCACCAGAGGCUUUUACUACUGCAGCCGCCUUGCACUGGGGAAGGUGCCCUGAUGUCUGCCAGCUUUCCAGAAACUCUGAGAAAAUGUGUCAGUUUUGUCUCCGUUCCCCUUUCCUCUCUCUCUUCCUAAUCUUGCCUGCUUCAUUCCCUUUCCUUCCCCCCUUCUCUGUCUGGUUGUGUGUCCAACCCACAAAACAUACAAACCACAUCUGUAGUUUUGUCUCUUCCCCUGUCCCUUAUCCUUCUUUUUACUCUCCACCACAGGAGUAAGUCGAUGACUCCUACUCUGUCUACUCUGCCAGCACAUGGCAUCGGUCUGCAUUGAAUCUGGGCUUCCUCAUUCACCCCCACAUUGCGGCCCUAGUGCAGGCAACUUCAGCGAUAGGUUAAACUCCAAACCCUCGCCAAUUAACCAACUCCACCUUUUUUGGUUGGUGUCCAAGUGGACGAUGUGGGCCCUCAACUGUUCUCUCCCAAAGUGCCAACCAGAUACAGUACAUAGCUGAUAUUCCUUUUCUUUUAGGGAUUAAGGAUUUUAGGGAUUCAGCAUUCAGAUCAGAAUACUUUUUUAUCCAUUACAUCUACCAAACUUCAACAUCUGUAUCUCUGUUCUGUUUCUAGAGCAACUUCCACUGCCCACCAUAGACUUCCAUUCCAAGUUAGCCAAAUUUACUACAGCUGCUAGCUGCAAAUUCUGCCACUGUCUGCUGAUUCACAUUUUGUCACCCACAGCAUAAUGCUUCUCAUGCCCUUCAUACCUGAAUCCACCAGUUCAAGAAAGUGCAAACCUGCAGCAAAUACACUUUUCAGUCAUUAAACGCAACUUCUCCUCAGUUACGCUCAAGGUCAUUCUUAGCUCAGUAUUCAAAAUCUGACUCUGUGUUUUGGGAAUUCUUUUGGGUGGAUGUGACAGGGGACUGAUCACCCGGCCAACACUAUCAUUUCCUCAGCCAGGCUAGUUAAAGCCAGCCAAAGCACUAUGCACAUUAUCCCUUUAUAGUGUUGGCUCAAUUUGUCAGUAUUCAAAUUUGACCAAACAACUGAAAUGGUGCUCUUGAACAGAAGCUUGGUUGGAGGUCAAAUUCUAAUCUUGCACUUCUUCCUUACACAUAAAAGCGCACUGGCUGAGCACGUCACUGCACACAUUUUUUCUUGUACACCUCCCUUAAUCAUAAUCAGAGUUGCAGCAGUUCUUCCUGGCUCAUGCCUCAUAAGGAGGGAUGUGACAACACUAGAAUACUAUCAUUUUCUCUGGCAGGUUAGUUAAAGCCAAGGUACUAAGCACCCAAUCUCUUUAUAUUUCUCGGCUCAUUUUGUCAUUAUUAGAAUUUGAACAAAUAAGUAAAUAGUGGUUUUCAGAAUAAAUACUCCUGCCUCUGUAACAUCCCUAAGUCAAUGAAUUUCAAACAAAGAUUCAACUUUGUUCAAGGAGCUCUUCAAACAAUUCAGGGGAAAAAAGUGAAGAAUCAAAUUAGUAAAAGGUUAUAAAACAGUUCAGACAUAUUGAAUAUCCCUUUGAGUGCAUCUAUCAUUAGUCCUUUCAAACCGAGGAGCUAGACAAAGAAGAAGUUAGUUAAGAAUUCCACCGUAGAGCCAACACCAAGUUUGAAAGAGCAACAGAAAUCAGUGGCUGAAAUGUGAGAAAAUAGCCAUGAGUCAAUAAUGUCCCACGCACUCCACAAAGCUUGCCUAUAUGGCAGAGUGACAAGAAGGAAGUCAUUAAUAAAAACACAAACCAUUUUAAUUAUAUUGCGAGCAUGUAACAUUAUGUUAUGAGACUGGUUCUCAUCAGCAAUGACUAGGAACCUUGUCAAGAUUAAGGGAAAAGUCGAUGGAGAAAAAUACAAGCUAAUCUUAGUGGAAAACCUGCUUUGGUCUGCAGAAGAGUCAAAACUGAUGUGAAAAAUCACCUUUCAGCAGGACAAUUCACACUGGAGUGGCUUAACAAGAAGAAAUUAACCAUCUUUGAGUGGCCCAGUUAUAGUCCUGAACUGAAUGUGAUAGAACAUCUGUGGCAAGACUUGAAAAAAAUUGUGUUUUUUAAUUAUCCCCAAUCAUUCUGCCAGUUUGAGCAAGUUUGCAAAGAAUAAAGAGCAAAUCCUUGUGUGAAAAGUAGGUACAGUACAGAAUUAAAAGUUGGAAGGUGGUAAACAAAAUUAAUACAUUGUGUGUGACAAUUUUUUAAAAUCAUUACAUAACUAAAACAACUGUUUUAAGCUUAAUUUCGUGUUUCAUUUUAUUGGCUUCCAAUCUGCUUGGUUAACAACUGCAAUCUCCAGCUAACAAUGUCCCUAUUUUAAAUUAUAAGCACAUUAUAGAGUUGGUUUAACAGCUAUUCUCUCUUACCUGGUGACUAGAGGCUUGGUUAGGACUAAUUAGAUGAUAUACAUUUUUUAUUGUGUAAUACGCAGGUGGUCCAUAAACAACAGAGUAGAUAAAGAAUGAAUUGGUUUAUUUUUUCCAAAGAAUGAUUAAAUUAAUGGAAUGUAAUAUUAAUGUUGUCUCAAUAGGUCAUAAUUUAUAUGACCUAUUGUGAAACCUCAGUAUGAUAGUGAAUGUAGCAUAUUAAAGUAUGUAAGUUCUGUAUAUGAAUAUUAGUAAAACCAAGCUGAACAUAAAUCCGAUAUACAGUAUACUGUGUAUGGCUGAUACUUAGUAUAGUAUCUCUUGAUUAGCUCCUGUUUAGCAAGAAAGCAAUUAGGCUUUCAAAUCUGAAGACUAGUAACACUAACAGCAAUUAUUUUCUUCUUUGGUGCAUCUCUGACUCAGGGUAUAGUCAGCGCGAAGACCUUAUUGUACAGUGAGAGACAGUGAGGUCAGCUACAGACAUUAACUUGUAGUGUAGGUUCCUCUGGAUACAAGGUAGCAAGUUAGAGUUUCAUGGAUAUGUUCCGCUUGAGUUCAUGAGGGCAGAUUGGCUGGCUGUCUGGGGGAAAACGACAUCAUGUUUACACAGUUGAAAAGGGACCACUGUGUAGUGCUCAGGCCCCCUGACAGGUGCUUAUAGAAGGGUUAGGUCAGGGAAAUCCAAGAAGUAACACAGAGGUUUUUGGCUCUGCGAGGGAACUUUGCAUUAGUCAUGCAUUUUUUUCAAACAUACAUAAUUUUAUUUGCAAGACAAAACUGUAUAUUUUGUUUAGAAUUACAGUAUGGAUCUAGGUGUAAUUGCUGGGAAACUGUCCAUGAAUGCAAUUAUAAUAAUAAAAGUUUGCUGUAUGCAGUAGUUCACCUCUGCUGUAAAUAUCAUUUUACAAUUGAGUUAGAGCUUCCUAUGGUUUCCAGUAGAGAUAUGCAGUAAUAU